CGGGUCUUGCCUGUUCCUAGAGAAAGGAAGGGGUUAGCCGCGGCGGGAACGGCCCCGCCAGUGAGGAGAGCAGGCAGCAAGGCUUAGUGGAAAAGGCGUGGCCCAGGCGUACCGCAGGGGCGUGACCCGAACGAGCUGUCCUUAGCUCUUACGUGAAGGGCGUGGCGUAGUCCCAAGGGUGUAAAAAAAGAUGUUCGAAUUGGCGGGAGGGUCGGCAUACUUUAGGCGGAGUAAGGACGUGGGCCCAAGGGAGGGAGGUAGGGUAGGCAGAAUAGUUGUGACUGGAUGAUCACUGGUAUGUGAAACGAACUGCGCUCAGAGGCGCAGACUGGCUGAAGCGUGGGAAAGUGGCCACAGAUGGAAAGGCAGGCAGCGGAGUAGUGAUGGGCAGGGGAUGUGGCGGCGGCAAGGGAAGUAGGGACAUGACGUAGUUGGAACGCAGAGACGUGCCUCGAACGUGGGGGCGCGGUCCUUACGUGUGGGCGUGUCUUGUUGCUCUGACGGGCGUAACAAACAUGGUGGAGCAGGCGGAGGGCAGAGGCGUGGGCAAGUUAGCGUGCAGGCGCGUGGCAGCGACAGGAGAUGUGUAGCCAGAGCGCAGAGCUGGUGUGGACUCCGGCGCAGGGGAAGCGUGGUCAGGGCGAGAUUUGAGCCUGGGUCGGGGACAGAGGCGGGACUGAUAGGGGCGUAGCCUGGAAUGACGAAAUGACGUUUGCUGCGUGGGGACGUGGGUAAACGUGAGGGGGCGUGGGCAACAUGGCCGCGUGCAGGAUCUUCGGGUCCCGGGAGCGAACGUGGAGGUUCUGGCUCAGUGCAUCCACUCUGGGAGAGCGUGGACCUGGUUCCUGGGGGCGAUCAACAGUCACCCAUCAACAUUUGGUGGAGGGACAGUGUUUAUGAUGCCGGCUUAAAACCGCUCACCAUCUCUUAUGAUCCAGCCACCUGCCUCCACGUCUGGAAUAAUGGGUACUCUUUCCUCGUGGAAUUUGAAGAUUCUACAUAUAAAUCAGGCUGUACAGGAAACAUGCUGCUCACAUCUGCAUCUGGUGAGGUCCUCAAACUGUUUCUCCUCAUGUUGGAAGGCCACGGGGAGCCAGCACGCAGAGAUCACAUGCUGCACUUAGUGCAUUGGAAUGCAGUCAAAUUUGAAAACUUUGAGGACGCAGCACCGGAAGAAAAUGGUUUGGCUGUGAUAGGAGUAUUUUUAAAGGUAAAAAAAACUCACCAACUUUAAAUGAUGUGGUGUAUUCUAGAAUGAAAAGAUAGAACAUUAUAAUAUUGUUGUUUACUUUAAGAAUAUUGGGAUCCAUACACUGGUAAGAUAAAUAGUGCUUGAAAUACAGGAUGGUUAAGGAUAUAUUUUAAAUGGCAUGAAACUGUGCCGUCCAAUAGAGUGAUCACAAGCCACAUGUGACAGUUGAGCUCUUGAAAUGUGGCUGGUGUAACUUAGGAAAUGAAGAUUUAAUUUACUUCUAAUUCACUUAAAUUUCAAUUGAAAAACUGAUAUUCAAUUCAGUUAUUGAAAAACUUUUGGGUCGGGCGCAGUGGCUCACACCUGUGAUCCCAGCUCUUUGGGAGGCCGAGGCAGACGGAUCACUUAAGGCCAGGAGUUCGAAACCAGCCUGGCUAAUGUGGC